GUGGGGAAUAUUGGACAAUGGGGGCAACCCUGAUCCAGCCAUGCCGCGUGUGUGAAGAAGGCCUUUUGGUUGUAAAGCACUUUAAGCAGUGAAGAAGACCUAACGGUUAAUACCCGUUAGCGAUGACAUUAGCUGCAGAAUAAGCACCGGCUAACUCUGUGCCAGCAGCCGCGGUAAUACAGAGGGUGCAAGCGUUAAUCGGAAUUACUGGGCGUAAAGCGAGCGUAGGUGGCUUGAUAAGUCAGAUGUGAAAUCCCCGGGCUUAACCUGGGAACUGCAUCUGAUACUGUUAAGCUAGAGUAGGUGAGAGGGAAGUAGAAUUCCAGGUGUAGCGGUGAAAUGCGUAGAGAUCUGGAGGAAUACCGAUGGCGAAGGCAGCUUCCUGGCAUCAUACUGACACUGAGGCUCGAAAGCGUGGGUAGCAAACAGG
rnacentral:rRNA from 1 species